rnacentral:rRNA from 1 species
UACAGGGGGGGCAAGCGUUGUUCGGAAUUACUGGGCGUAAAGGGCCAGUAGGCGGCCAACUAAGUCCGACGUGAAAUCCCAAAGCUUAACUUUGGAACUGCGUCGGAUACUGGAUGGCUUGAAUUCGGGAGAGGGAUGCAGAAUUCCAGGUGUAGCGGUGAAAUGCGUAGAUAUCGGGAGGAACAUCGAUGGCGAAGGCAAUCACCUGGGCCUGAACUGACACUGAGACACGAAAGCGUGGGUAGCAAACAGG